UACUGAACAGACAACGUGGUGAUUGCCUUU
rnacentral:piRNA from 1 species